rnacentral:rRNA from 1 species
UACGUAGGGGGCAAGCGUUGUCCGGAAUCAUUGGGCGUAAAGCGCGUGUAGGCGGCCCGAUAAGUCCGCUGUGAAAGUCCAGGGCUCAACCCUGGGAUGCCGGUGGAUACUGUCGGGCUCGAGUCCGGAAGAGGCGAGUGGAAUUCCUGGUGUAGCGGUGGAAUGCGCAGAUAUCAGGAGGAACACCGAUAGCGAAGGCAGCUCGCUGGGACGGUACUGACGCUGAGGCGCGAAAGCGUGGGGAGCGAACAGG